rnacentral:antisense_RNA from 1 species
GCGGCGCGUGCCCGCCGAGCACUUAAUUGUAAAUUAAGAUUUGCUGAUGAUGAUGGGCUAAUUUAAGCUACCGUGGAAAGAGGAAAGAAAUGGAAGCUGCCGAUCGUAGGAAGCAGUACCUGUACUGCGCAGGGUUGCAGUGACCUAACACCAAGAAAUAAAAACUCUGGAAAACUAGCCCUUCACAUAUAGAAGGACCCUCCCAAAGAGCUGGAGCUCCUCUGCCCACAGCCUCCCCCAUCAGAUCAGACCUAUGGUAGAAGACAGCAAGGAGUAAACGCUGUUUCCUGUUUUCAUUUUUUUCAAUUGGACCACCAGCUACUACAACUCUAGAAAAAUGGAGGCACAGAUAUGUGGGUCCCAGAGCCCUGGGGGAGCUGGAAUGGAUACUUGCUAACACACGGGACACGAGAUUCUCUUUCCUUUGGAAGGGUCCUGUCACGGCCCUUCUUGGGUUCUGGACUGUCCUACAAUGUCUGACUUCAGUUUCUGUGGAUCAUGAUAAGCAUUACUCAUUUUUUCCCCCUCAAAUAUCCCACAGCUUCAAACUUACCUGAAUGCAGGUUCCCUGUAAAAAUACCAUCAUGUAAUUUGCACAUUAGCAAUCAGUUUGAUGAAUGGCAAAAUUGUUCAAAUGGAAAAGAGGAGAGAGAUAGUGUGGUCUUUUGAUGAAGGGGGAGAGGCAAGAGCCUGAUAAAUCAGAAGAGAGAGGUGAGGCUCUUGCAGCCCAGGUCUUAAUUUCCUUGUAAGAAUCAAUGCUCACUCAGUGGUGAUACUGAGCUUGUGAAAGCUCAACUGUGACACUCUUUAGAAAGUAGUACAGAGAUUUUUUUCCUUCCCAUUAUCAACUCAUUAAAGGAAGUUAAAAGUACUUACUCUGUCCCACACACAG